rnacentral:ncRNA from 1 species
UCGGGAUAGGGAAUUGAUUUAUUUCCCUUGCACGAGGAAUUCCCAGUAAGCGCGAGUCAUUAGCUCGCGUUGAUUACGUCCUUGCCCCUUGUACACACCGCCCGUCGCUACUACCGAUUGAAUGGUUUAGUGAGGUCCUCCGAUUGGACCCGGUCCGGGCGGCGACGUCCGAGCCGGCGUCCGAGAAGACGAUCUAACUUGAUCAUUUAGAGGAAGUAAAAGUCGUAACAAGGUUUCCGUAGGUGAACCUGCGGAAGGAUCAUUA